CAGCCAUCAUUUAAAGAAAGCGUAAUAGCUCACUGGUCGAGUCGGCCUGCGCGGAAGAUGUAACGGGGCUAAACCAUGCACCGAAGCUGCGGCAGCGACACUAUGUGUUGUUGGGUAGGGGAGCGUUCUGUAAGCCUGUGAAGGUGGCCUGUGAGGGUUGCUGGAGGUAUCAGAAGUGCGAAUGCUGACAUAAGUAACGAUAAAGCGGGUGAAAAGCCCGCUCGCCGGAAGACCAAGGGUUCCUGUCCAACGUUAAUCGGGGCAGGGUGAGUCGACCCCUAAGGCGAGGCCGAAAGGCGUAGUC
rnacentral:rRNA from 1 species